UGCCCAAGGAUGUGGACCCGCCUGUGGAUGAGCUGACUCCAGAGCUGCAGUCCCGGUUCAGGCUCACAGGGAGGCUGCUGGAAUGGAUGAUUCGGUGGUUGGACCGCAGGCUCCUGUGCGGACCCAGUAAAGCACAGAGUACAGCACUGUGAUCCGAGUGUAGGCUUCGGCACCGGCCAUUCUCAGCUCUCUCUGGAAGCUGGAGAGGAGGUACUCAGCAGGGCUGCUGGUGGACAAGCACCUUCAUUCAAGGGUUCCAGAACGAGAGUAUAUCGUAGCUCCAGUUUUCCAACAAGAGCCCAAGUCAAAGGUGGAGAGAGAAAGCAGUGUGGACACUGGUUAUCCUGCAUCAGCUGAAACCCCCAUCACUCUUUUAGACCAGGAGAUAUUUGAGUCACAGCAUGGGCAUGAUUCAGAGAAGGCUUCUGAUGUGGACGAAGGCCAUAAAAGUAGAACCAAAGAUCAAAGCCCUUCUCUGAACUAUGAUCUGGAAGAAGUCACAUCAGACUUGGAGAAUAAGGAUGAAGAAGAUGGAAUGGCACUGAAG